rnacentral:rRNA from 1 species
AUUGAACGCUGGCGGCAGGCCUAACACAUGCAAGUCGAAUGGUAACAGGAAACAGCUUGCUGUUUCGCUGACGAGUGGCGGACGGGUGAGUAAUGUCUGUGAAACUGCCUGAUGGCGGGGGAUAACUACUGGAAACGGUAGCUAAUACCGCAUAACGUCGCAAGACCAAAGAGGGGGACCUUCGGGCCUCUUGCCAUCAGAUGUGCCCAGAUGGGAUUAGCUAGUAGGUGGGGUAACGGCUCACCUAGGCGACGAUCCCUAGCUGGUCUGAGAGGAUGACCAGCCACACUGGAACUGAGACACGGUCCAGACUCCUACGGGAGGCAGCAGUGGGGAAUAUUGCACAAUGGGCGCAAGCCUGAUGCAGCCAUGCCGCGUGUAUGAAGAAGGCCUUCGGGUUGUAAAGUACUUUCAGCGGGGAGGAAGGGAGGAAAGUUAAUACCUGUGCUCAUUGACGUUACCCGCAGAAGAAGCACCGGCUAACUCCGUG